rnacentral:rRNA from 1 species
GGUACAGACGGAAGCGAAGCCGCGAGGUGGAGCAAAUCCGAGAAAGCCGUUCUCAGUUCGGAUUGCAGGCUGCAACUCGCCUGCAUGAAGUCGGAAUCGCUAGUAAUCGCAGGUCAGCACACUGCGGUGAAUACGUUCCCGGGCCUUGUACACACCGCCCGUCACACCACGAAAGUUUGCAACACCCGAAGCCGGUGGGGUAACCGUAAGGAGCCAGCCGUCGAAGGUGGGGUAGAUGAUUGGGGUGAAGUCGUAACAAGGUAGCCGUAUCGGAAGGUGCGGCUGGAUCACCUCCUUUCUAGGGAGA